rnacentral:pre_miRNA from 1 species
AUGUAGGGCAAUCUGUCUUUAAGUAGGGAUAAAUUACUCUAAAACAAAAAGGAAUCCUAGAUAGUUUUCCCUUCAAGUCAAGUGUCUUGU